rnacentral:rRNA from 1 species
CCUGGUGGCCACAGCGGAGGGGUCACACCUCUUCCCAUUCCGAACAGAGUAGUUAAGCCCUCCUGCGCCGAUGGUACUGCUUGGGUGACCUUGUGGGAGAGUAGGACGUCGCCGGGA